CCUACGGGUGGCAGCAGUGGGGGAUAUUGCACAAUGGGGGGAACCCUGAUGCAGCGACGCCGCGUGGGCGAUGGAGUGCUUCGGCGCGUAAAGCCCUAUCAGCAGGGAAGAAAAUGACGGUACCUGAAGAAGAAGCCCCGGCUAACUACGUGCCAGCAGCCGCGGUAAUACGUAGGGGGCAAGCGUUAUCCGGAUUUACUGGGUGUAAAGGGAGCGCAGGCGGCGUGGCAAGCCAGGGGUGAAAUCCCGGGGCCCAACCCCGGGCCUGCAUUGGGAACUGCCAGGCUGGAGUGCCGGAGAGGCAGGCGGAAGUCCUGGUGUAGCGGUGAAAUGCGUAGAUAUUAGGAGGAACACCAGUGGCGAAGGCGGCCUGCUGGACGGUGACUGACGCUGAGGCUCGAAAGCGUGGGGAGCAAACAGGAUUAGAUACCCGAGUAGUC
rnacentral:rRNA from 1 species